UCUCGAUGUGCCCAACGCAGCCCGAUACAACACGAUUUCGUGUUCUAAUAAGCAGUUAUAUUGUAUUUACAAAGAAUAUACAAGUAUGUUGUAUUAUAUUGAAGUAUCUGCAAUGGGGACUGGGGAGUAUUUAUGCUUAGUCAGGACUAUGCUAAUACAAGGACUUGUCUCUUGUCACUUAAAUAUUACGAUAAAUCGCAUUACAAGCAAAUUUUAUUUACAAAAAAAUAUAUUAUAUAUAGUUUAUAUAUUUUUAUUUAUUUAUUUAUUUUUUUUUAUGUGAGGCCUUAACGUAAUUCUAGAAAUUUAUUUACCUAACCUUCAAUACAUAUUAUCUCAAUUUUUUAUAAGUAUAUAUACAUAUACUAAUAUGUUGUACUACGACGUUAAAAUUUGGACGUCUUUAAUCCAGAACAGACAAUAGCCGUCAUUGUUUUAAAAAGUUGAUGUGUACCUGUCACCCGCCAUCUGAGACUUGCUAUUAUUCUCUGUAUUACUAAAAUUCUGAAGCUUGCUGAAAACUUGCCAACAAAGUUACUCAUGCACCCACCUAUAUUUCUCUGUGAUAUAAUAUGCGUUUCUCGGUGAAUCUCACUAUCAGUAUAUAUUAAAUUUCCGUUCUCUAUCCACGCCAAUAACUACCAAAAUAAAUUAUAUCAUCGAAUAUAAGUAAACAAAGAGAAAUAAAACCAAUUGCUUGAGAUUUUUUUUAAAUUUUAAUAAAUAAAAAUCAUAUUGAUCGUAGCAACAUAUAUUAUCACAGCUCAGAUACAAUCUGUACUAUUAUAUAACAACCGGCUCAAACUUGACGACUUUGAACAUGAAAAGGGCGGCGAUAAACUUCACAAACAGAGGUCACAAGGGGACUACCGUCCAUUCGUCAUACAAAGGGAUAUAUAAACCAAAUGCUAUAUGAGAAUUAAAGAGAUAGAGAAUGGAAAAGCCAGCUAGCACAAACUCGAUGAAAUUUUUACCAUGAAUUUUAUCUUUCCUUCUCUUUUACACGCAUUCUAUUCAACUACAAUGACGACGACAAGACCUUCGGUACCCUGGUACUUUCUUCUUCAAAGCCAAAACAUACUAAACUCUUGGGUAAUUAUCUCUAAGCUUACUGGUCAUUAUUGACGAUCCUAAUCCUUGCAAAAUCAUUAUGAAAUAUUUCAAAAAACUAAUCCUAUAAAUCUCAAAUAAAUUCGUUAUUACCAUUGACGAUGUUAAUCGUUAAAAAAAUUAUUUUUUCCUGUGAAAAAUAUUGCAAGUUGUUAUUAUUAUUAUUAUUUUCUUUUGCUAAUCUGGAACGGAAUUGCUUUCUGGUCUAUAACGAAAAAUCAUGAUAUAUAUUUUCAUCAGUCAAAUGGUAAAAUAGAAAAAGACAAAUAGGUAAUCUUGAAGAGCUUCACUUAACUUCUCAUCCUCCAUUAGGUCGUCAAUCUUCUGAAUUGUAGCUUCAGUAUCGUCCAAUUCGUCGAGAUGUCCAAAAAAAAAAUGUUGACGUUUUUCGGAUUAAUCUUAUCGACCUGCUGUUUUUCCGUGACACUAUCCGUGCUUUAACCAAUUUCUGUACACUCAAUUUAUUUUUUAUCUCUUUCUCUCUUU